rnacentral:lncRNA from 1 species
GGCGCAUUUAAGUCGAUUCAAAACAUCACGUCAUACAAAUGAAACCGCUAAAGUUAAAAGUUUUCUAUUAUGUGAACCAUCGAAAUUCGUAUGAUAUUGUAUUAAAACUGAUUUUUGAGGUAGGUUUUGUUUUAUUUUCUAUUCUAUUGCAUUAUUUACAUAUUUACCAAUUUCAGCAAGUCAACAUGGCGGCUCCUUAGUUACGAAAUGUCAACUUUGGAUUAGACAGAAGCUUACGAGAAAAUUGUGUAAAUUAAAAAUGGCAAAUGUUGGGUUUGAGAAUUAGAAGAAUUAAAUAGUUUUUUUCUAGCGGUUAUUCACCAAAUUACCCAUGCAAGCUACGGAUUUAUUAAGAUAUUUGAGCCUUAUCUAACAGGGAGUAAAAAAGAGUAGCCACACACACACACCAAAUUUAAACCAACCCUCGCAUCAGUAUUUUGAUGACCGCAUUUGUCCUAUCGGAAUCAGAAUAAUUCAUGAAAGCCAUAGAUUGUUGGAAAUUUACACAUGGCCUGGGCCGUGAUAUUCGUUAAUUUUAUCCCUC